rnacentral:lncRNA from 7 species
CUAGUCAGCACAGGAAAGCCCUGGCUGGUAGCUAAUUAGGAUCAGAUGGGCGGAGGUAGGCUCAGCACAAUGAGCACACUAUAGGUUAACUCAGCCAGAUACUAUUCUGGAGAAGCAGAGGAUCUGAGAAAUGCUGCUUUCACUUGGACCACACGGCCUUCUGAGUGGUCGAAAGGGAACCCACUGCAGUAAGGGGAUCCCCAAACACCAAACUGAGGUCCCCAUCGAUGGGCUGUCAGACCCAGAAACAGCCUGGAAAGUAGGUGUGAGCUCCCCAGUCUGUUUACUUGGCUCUGUCAUUCCCAGCACUGAGCAUCAGAAAGGCAGACUGCUACUGAGUUCUUAAGCAGAGACUGUCCUGCUUUCCCCUGUUACCAUGUAACGGUUGUAGAGUGAAGCUUAUCAAUGGAUAAUAUUGCUGCUGUUGAAAAGGGAGAAAAAUUUCCAACAUCUCAAACUGGAAGAGUAAGAUGAAUGUUUUAUCUACCUUGUAUUUAAAAGUCCCUGAAGCAAAGGCAGGCUUAUUAAACAGUGAAGACAUUAAGAGGCACUAUUUCUAAGACAACUGCAUGCAAACUAAGACAGCUACAGGAAGAGUGGUGGCAUCCUGACCCUUCUGGCUGUUCUGCUGACUCCAGCUCUUCUCUCUGGGAAUGGCCAAGUCUCUCUCCAAACGCACCCCAGCAUCUGCAGGCAGGAUGCUGACAGAUUUGCUUUGAUGUUGGUUGAGAGCUGCUUCAUGCUGCAGCGAAUAUUCUUAGGUCAUAGGAGGAGGAUGUGGCACAACAAUAUUCUGUCGUCCCCAGACCCACAAGACACAGAAGGCGAACUCUGCUGAGCUGUGAAUGAUAAUUUGUCACAGAAUCUAUGGCAUUUUUCAAUGAGAAGCCUUUGCAUACAAUUGUUCUGUGCCCUUCUACUCCAAUACUGUAUCAGACUACCAGGGUGUUUCAAAACUAUGCUUUGCGAUUGCACCUUCAGGAGGAAACUCCUCCUCACCUUCCAUCUCAUCUGUUCUCUGGCUGCUGUUGUACUUUAUGUAGGUUCUGUUUUUACAGCUAGAGUAGAAAUGAGAAGCUAAUGGGGCAGCUGUUACACGGGUGAAGGUGCUGCUGAAAUCCCAAAGAACAAUUCCAAUGUCAGAAUGCUGACCGUUCAAUUAGUUUACUUUCCUUGUGCAGGUGUCUCCUUGGGUAAAUUCAGAAUAACCUCAGCCUGCUCUCCAGCAUAUGAUCUAAAUGUUGGUAUCUAACAUGGAGAAAAUCUAUCCGAUUCCUGAAUUCCUUAGUGAGCUGUACAAAAGAAGCUUGUCUUCAGAUUUCCUUUGCACUCUUACAUGUAUUUAAAGCUUUUUUCUGUAUAAUGAAAGAUUCUCUCAUUUUUCUGAAUGGCAUUACUGUUGGUUAACAUGCCAACAAGGAAGCAAACACUUUUCUAGCCAGCUACGUUUUGCUACUCCUUCCCUUUGUCUCCCCACUCCCUUUUACUCCCCCCAGUAGGAUUUUUGCAAUACAUUUCUAGAAAUAACAUAUGCAUUCUGACACAAAACCAUAUCUCCAACAGUAACAAUAAAUUAGACACUGUGGGAAUUUAAGCUUGUUCUUUUGUCCAAGGUGAGACAGUGAAGUCAUUGGUAAUGAAGAAUAAAACAAUUGUUAUGCAGCAUUUCUGUGUUAAGCACUGCUCCCCAUGUUAUCCCGUGUAUGAAAGAGAAUGCUUGGGGAGCUUUGUUACUAUCGCACUUGGUCAAAGCACAUGAGAAUAUCCUCUUAUUUGCAUAGCAGGGAUUUCCUGAAGUACAAACCAGCUUCCUCAAGCCUUUCUACCUCACAAGACAUGGCAUAGUUUGAUCGUUAAUCAAAAUAAAGUCCAAAUCAAUAAACAUGCAUAAUCAAGGCUCUCUGAUUCCAGUAUGUAAAUGCACUACAUAUUGAUGAAAUGUUUCUGAAUCUAAAAUGGUUUUGUUUUUUUCCUCCUCUCGGAAGUCCCUAAGCCUUUUAAUUUUAAUAUUUUAUGCAUUGCUAUACAAACAAUGUAAGACUUCGUCCAUGUAUCAGAGAUAACAAGUUAGAAGAUGAAUGCUCCAAAUACUUCUCAUUCACUUUGUGGACUUGACAGCACUUUAUGCAUUUGCAUGGCUGGUAAUUACUUGACCUGCAAAGGCCCAACUUUGCACAUGGUGAAAGCAAUCGCUCUGCCAUGCACUUUCUUGCUAUAGUAUCAGAGCUCAGGCUGUCAGGAUGCUGGGUCCUCUGCCAGUGCCAGUGGUUACAGUGUGAAAAUCAGUUGUUUCUUAUGUGCACGGCAAUGGAGAUGUUGCAUAAGGAGGGGACUAAAGUGCUGCUCAGUCAGGACAGGUUUGUGCCCGUGGUGUGUGACUGGGAGCGGUGCCAGGGCACUGUUCAUGGAGGUGCAGAUCCCUGGAUCUAAAUCUGGUAGGAGCUCGUGGAUCGUGCAAGUAAUUAUUGCUGUAUACUUAAUACUGUCCUAUAUGGAUUAUAAUUCCUAUCAAAAAUAUACAUGCUGUGAUGUAGGGAUUGUUGCAGUCUGAAGAUGCGUCCAAAAAUAAACAUUUU